rnacentral:rRNA from 1 species
GAUCCUGGCUCGGGACGAACGCUGGCGGCGUGCUUAACACAUGCAAGUCGAACGGAGCACCCCUGAAUGAGGUUUCGGCCAAAGGAAGGGAAUGCUUAGUGGCGGACUGGUGAGUAACGCGUGAGGAACCUGCCUUUCAGAGGGGGACAACAGUUGGAAACGGCUGCUAAUACCGCAUGACACAUGAAUGGGGCAUCCCAUUGAUGUCAAAGAUUUAUCGCUGAAAGAUAGCCUCGCGU